CACGUAGGAAUCGAGCGUUAUCCGAAUUUACUGGGCGUAAAGCGCGUGCAGGUGGUUUGUUAAGUUGGAUGUGAAAGCUCCUGGCUCAACUGGGAGAGGCCGUUCAAAACUAGCAGACUUGAGAGCGGUAGAGGAAGGUGGAAUUCCCGGUGGAGUAGUGAAAUGCGUAGAUAUCGGGAGGAACACCAGUGGCGAAGGCGGCCUUCUGGACCGUUUCUGACGCUAAGACGCGAAAGCUAGGGUAGCGAAUGGG
rnacentral:rRNA from 1 species